CAGAACAACUGAAGCAGUCAGGGGUAGUUAAAUACAAAACUGUAAUAAGAAAACAGAGCAAUAAUUUUGUAAAGACUGAUCACAGAUGCACUGAUGCACAGUGUCAUGGCCCCAACAGAAAAUAUCUCACAUUUGAUGGCAAAGCCUGUUAACAGAGUUUGGUAUUUAGGUCAUUACUGAGUUUGUUAAUUUGUGUUUCACCCAAAAUAUAGAUUUCUUUUUAUACACUUUGUGUUACUCAAGGCAACACAAACACACUGCCUUUUGUGUACCAGCAAUAUUGUCAAAGGGACCUGGAGCCCAGUAUGUGGGAGAGAACCCAAGCGCAAACACAGCGAUAAGGUUUACAAGUUUAUGUAAACAAAGUUGUUUGACAAGUCGUGGGCACAGAGAACUGGAAUGUACUGGCUUAACCUGGGAAACACAGAACAUGGGAUGAAUGUGCAUGAAAGCUAGGAGUUUCAGCUUACUGUAACUGCUGCAGGACUGAUGAUAGCUUCAGUCUCGUAUGGUCCAAUGUAACAUGGAGCGAGCUUAUGGGAAAGGUAUUUCAGUGGAUUGUCUUUAGCAGCAAGCCAUACCCUUUGCCCAGGCUGGUACCUGGGAGCAGGUGUCCUUAGGCGGUCUGCACAGCAGAGCUGAAUAGAGCUGAGCUGAGUAGCGCCUUCUCGGUCCAAGUCCAGAUGCGUCAACAUCGUUGCAGAUGGUGUGGAGGGAGAAGGGAAGAUGUGUAGACCAGAUUGGUGGUUUUGCGUGGUGACACAGCAGAGAGCUGAUUCCAGUUUCUGUUUGAGAUGCUCGGUUUGGCCAUUGGUUUGUGGAUGAUAACUGGAACUGAGGCUGACCUUCACUCCAAUUGCUGAGUCUAAGGCUUUCCAGACCUGAGAAGUAAACUGUGGACCUCUGUCAGAAAUAAUUUCCAUGGGUAUCUAGCUUGAACUUCCUAGAAUCUGGAUGGUAAGAAACUGAUAAUUUGAAGUGAGCAAAAACAAAGACUAUAGACUGGCUUGACAGACAUUAAUUUUCUUAGCCGUUCUUAAAUAGGUUAAAUUUUUAUGGUCUGUCCAAAUGGUAAAAGGAUGUUCAGCCCCCUCUUUCAUUUCACUGCUAACAACUCCCGGUUGCCCACAUCAUAAUUUUUCUCUGCAGUAGGUGACAGAAAAAGGCACAAAGUUGCAGCUUACCUAUUAGUCCAGAACACUGGGAACAGAGAACAGCCCUGACUCCAGAGUCUGAUGCAACUACUUCUAUGAUAAAUGGUUUUGUGGUGUCUGGGUGGAUCAAAACAGGUGUUUUAGCUAGACAAAGGCGGUUUUGGCUUCAGUGGACAAGAUAGACAGGACUUUGGUGGAGGUGAGGUGUGGUGGGUCCUUGUGUGACGUGGAAGUGAGCCCUUCACUUACAGCUCGGAUCUUGGCUGGGUCGAUCUUCACCUGUCCUCCUGCCAAAAUAUAACCCAGAAAGAUGACAGAAGAACCGUGGAACAAAUUUCUCGGCCUUGACAUAUAAGCGGAUCUCGAGGAAUCGUUGCAGGAUGGAGUGGACAUGGACACAGUGCUCCUGGGGGUUUUUGAAGAAAAUCAGGAUAUCAUCAAGAUAUAUGAACACAAAGAUGCUCAGAAAA